rnacentral:rRNA from 1 species
UGGGGAAUAUUGGACAAUGGGGGGAACCCCGAUCCAGCCAUGCCGCGUGUGUGAAGAAGGCCUUAUGGUUGUAAAGCACUUUAAGCGAGGAGGAGGGUACUGGUAUUAAUACUACCAGCUACUGGACGUUACUCGCAGAAUAAGCACCGGCUAACUCUGUGCCAGCAGCCGCGGUAAUACAGAGGGUGCGAGCGUUAAUCGGAUUUACUGGGCGUAAAGCGUGCGUAGGCGGCUAAUUGAGUCGGAUGUGAAAUCCCCGAGCUUAACUUGGGAAUUGCAUUCGAUACUGGUUAGCUAGAGUGUGGGAGAGGAUGGUAGAAUUCCAGGUGUAGCGGUGAAAUGCGUAGAGAUCUGGAGGAAUACCGAUGGCGACGGCAGCCAUCUGGCCUAACACUGACGCUGAGGUACGAAAGCAUGGGGAGCAAACAGG